UACGGGGGGGGCAAGCGUUGUUCGGAAUUACUGGGCGUAAAGGGCUCGUAGGCGGCCAACUAAGUCAGACGUGAAAUCCCUCGGCUUAACCGGGGAACUGCAUCUGAUACUGGAUGGCUUGAGUUCGGGAGAGGGAUGCGGAAUUCCAGGUGUAGCGGUGAAAUGCGUAGAUAUCUGGAGGAACACCGGUGGCGAAGGCGGCAUCCUGGACCGGUAUUGACGCUGAGGCGCG
rnacentral:rRNA from 1 species